UACGAAGGGGGCUAGCGUUGUUCGGAAUUACUGGGCGUAAAGCGCGUGUAGGCGGGCCGUUAAGUCGGGGGUGAAAGCCCAGAGCUCAACUCUGGAAUUGCCUUCGAUACUGGCGGCCUGGAGCAUGAUAGAGGCGAGUGGAAUUGAGAGUGUAGAGGUGAAAUUCGUAGAUAUUCGCAGGAACACCAGUGGCGAAGGCGACUCGCUGGAUCAUUGCUGACGCUGAGUCGCGAAAGCGUGGGGAGCAAACAGG
rnacentral:rRNA from 1 species